GACGAACGCUGGCGGCGUGCUUAACACAUGCAAGUCGAACGGAAAGGCCCUGCUUUUGUGGGGUGCUCGAGUGGCGAACGGGUGAGUAACACGUGAGUAACCUGCCCUUGACUUUGGGAUAACUUCAGGAAACUGGGGCUAAUACCGGAUAGGAGCUCCUGCUGCAUGGUGGGGGUUGGAAAGUUUCGGCGGUUGGGGAUGGACUCGCGGCUUAUCAGCUUGUUGGUGGGGUAGUGGCUUACCAAGGCUUUGACGGGUAGCCGGCCUGAGAGGGACCGGCCACAUGGGGACUGAGAUACGGCCCAGACUCCUACGGGAGGCAGCAGUGGGGAAUAUUGCACAAUGGGCGGAAGCCUGAUGCAGCAACGCCGCGUGCGGGAUGACGGCCUUCGGGUUGUAAACCGCUUUCGCCUGUGACGAAGCGUGAGUGACGGUAAUGGGUAAAGAAGCACCGGCUAACUACGUG
rnacentral:rRNA from 1 species